rnacentral:rRNA from 1 species
CCAGCAGCCGCGGUAAUUCCAGCUCCAAUAGCGUAUAUUUAAGUUGUUGCAGUUAAAAAGCUCGUAGUUGGAUUUCGGGUGGGUUCUAGCGGUCCGCCUUUGGUGAGUACUGCUAUGGCCUUCCUUUCUGCCGGGGACGGGCUCCUGGGCUUCACUGUCCGGGACUCGGAGUCGGCGAGGAUACUUUGAGUAAAUUGGAGUGUUCAAAGCAGGCCUACGCUCUGAACAUUUUAGCAUGGAAUAUCACGAUAGGACUCUGGCCUAUCUUGUUGGUCUGUAGGACCGGAGUAAUGAUUAAGAGGGACAGUCGGGGGCAUUCGUAUUUCAUUGUCAGAGGUGAAAUUCUUGGAUUUAUGAAAGACGAACUACUGCGAAAGCAUUUGCCAAGGAUGUUUUCAUUAAUCAAG